GGGGGGGGGGGGGGUCAUAUAUUUCCGUCCUUAUGAAGUGGGGGUACAGGCUCCCCUGGUUCCUACAGGCAUGCCCAUGACUACAGGGAACAUUUUGUUGAGUAUCGCGUUGCGAUUCACUACGCAACUUUCGGAGAUCACUUCACAAUUUAAGAACAUUAAACAGUAGUUGUUAAUCAAUUUUCCAUUGAAUAGAAAUAUUGGUAAUCUAGAUUUUGAAAAGAGAAUGUUUAGUGGUCUGGUAUUGUACACUGGGCUCACACUGUAAAUAAUUUAGUUUUAGCCAGUGUUUUAGAUAUGUAGAGUACUUCUUUGGUAAUUACUAUUAAAAUGUGUUUCAGUUCUGUUCCAUGUGAUCAUUGGAACACAUGGGGAAUUUUUUUGUUUUUUCAUUAAUGAUGGUAUUGCAGGGUUUGGACUGAAGUCCAUAAAAUGUUAGCAAGUAGCAUCUGUCACAAAAUUCAAGUUUCAUUUAGCCAAACAGCAAAAAUUAUGGUGCGUCUGUAAACGACAGAUGAUUUUCGAAUUAGCUUUUUGGCGAAUUGGUAAUGAAAUGCAUUUGCUAAUUUCAACUUUAAUUCGCAUUUGGCAAGCGACAGCUUAAAGCCUCAUAUUGGUUGAUUAUGUUAACAAAAUACUGGACUUUCAGUUUCACUAUUUAGUCAAUACGUUGCCAGAAACAAUGGUUCCGUGAAAUCCUGUGGCUUGUGUUAUUAGCCAUAUACUAAUUGUAGCCACUUUAUAUACAAAAUUGACAACUGGCUAAUUCGACUAUGGGCAUGGUGAGGCAUUGGUAUGUGCUAUGGGAAAGUGGAUACAGAAUAGCCCUAUUCUUGUUUUGCUUUAGAGCAAAUGAUUAAAUACUGAAUGUGUUCAGUUAUCAAUUAAAACAUUCGUUCCUUUCCUCCCAUUUAAGUUGGUACGGUUUUAAGAGGAUUCCCAUGUGGAAGAGGCCUGUGUGACCUACUUUCUGAAUUUAGUGAAUUGGUUGUGUUUUUUUGUUCACCAGCAUAAUACAUACAUUAUGAUUUGUGUGCUGAUCAAAGACAUAUAACUACUAACCAAGUUUGAUUUGACCUACAUGUACCAUGUAUUUUUUCAUAUAUAUUUGGUGACUGGUUCCGUUUUGUUAUGACUUUUUAUCGGCUAGAUUGAUAUCACAGUAUAUAUUUUUAAAAUAUUUUGAUUCUUGAUUGGUGUUACACCAGUUGUUAUUGAUGAUAUUUUGCUCAUUAUAGGGAUAUUUUUAAUGAACUUAAGUUGCACUUCCAAAUACAUGUGGGUUUGUUUAGUAACAGUUGACUUUGAAUUGUUUUAUUUCAUGGACCAAGGGUUUCAGAUGGAUCUUCAUACCACACUGCUUGUAUAUAAUCAUCUUGUAUUAACGUGUGAAUAAUUUCUUUCUACAUACCCAAGACCCCUGGUAAUGUUUGUACCGAGUCCCAUAUUGAAUUGUAAAUGUCGCGUGUACACUGGGAUGUACAACAAUAUGCUGUGUGACAAAAAAUUAUGUGUCCCAAAAAGUAUUCAUAAUUUCAUGCAAAUUUCAAAGCAAGAUAAUUCUGACAAUAUUGUUUGGUUAUUUCAUUGUAAACACAAUCAAUAAUUCAGUGUAAACAAAUAAUUAUGUUCUGCAGGCAUCGGAAUAAGUUGAGAACGGUCUUUCAGGUUACCAGGCAGUUAGAAAGUUGAUAGUAAUAACAAAACUAUAAAACAUGUUGCAGAUUACCAAGGGCUUAAUUCACUAAACUCUCUUAACUUUGUGCGAUAGUGCAGUGCAAAAAGACGCACAAAGAUAAUAGGAUAUUGUUUUAGAGAGAGUUGUUAAUUGGGCCCCACUGGUUUGUAUUUUGUGGCAACACCACAUGGGUUACCACAGGUAGUGAUUCCUGGUCUCAAUCACUUCAGUGUGGGACUCAUCCUGGUGAGGAUAUUUGCUUUUACCAUUUGUUUUCUUUAGAUAUUUGAUAUUUAACAAAAUGAUAUCAUUUGGUUAACUGGAGUUUAAUGUUUAUUAUAGGUGAGUCCUACACUGGACUGUAGUGUAUCUUUAAGGAAGAUGUUCGUAUAUUGCUCAAUUACUAACGGAAGUCACAUACAAGUCAUAUCAAACCGGUGAUCAUAUUGGAGAACUUGUUAUGCUGCUUGUUUUGUAAUACAUGUAGAUUACUUGCUAUUGGUUAAAACAAGUGAAAUCUGCAUAUGUAUAGGCUAUCAGGUAUUUUGAAAUUCUGCAUUCCAAAGCAUUUGAUUUUUUCUCAGUGACAUGCAUUUCUUCUACAUGUAUGACAAGUCCAGAGUUAAACCCCCAUUUGCCAAGUCUUAAUGUGGUAUUGCAUAAAUAGUCUUCAAAGACUGAGUUAUACUACAUAAUGGUCCUUAAACGUGACAGGCCGUUAAGUUUUAUUGUUUAGAUUGCCCAUGGUCUGUACAUCUGAAAGUAUUUCUGGUCAUCCUGAUGUUUCCAAUGCCACGAAAUAUAGUCUUUAUGUUUUAAAAAAAUACACAUACCUCUGAGAAGUAACAGUUACAGAGAUGGGCUUUUGUCUAUUUUUAAGGGUAUUCCCCCAUUUUAACAUCACUCUUGUUUCAUUCUAUGUGCUGAUGGGAAAAUAUAGCAGAUUUCCUUGAAAAACUAUCUUUAAGAAGUAUCAAAUGUUUUACAUCCAGUAGCCAAUGAUUAAUUAAUAAAUGUUCUCUGUUGUUGUUAAACAAAACAGACUUUAAUCCUUUGUGAAACUUCCUUAUGAACUGGGAUCGAUCCCAGUCGGUGGGCCCAUCAGGCUAUUUUUAGUUCCAGCUAGUACACCACGACUGGCAUAUCAAAGGCCGUGGUAUGUAUUACCCUGCCUGUUGGGAUGGUGCAUAUAAAAGAGUCCAUGAAAUGGCAACAGCAGGUUUCCUCUCUCAAUAUCUGUGUAGUCCUUAACCAUAUGUCUGACGCCAUUUAACCAUAAAUAAAAUGUGUUGAGUGGGUGGUUAAAUAAAACAUUUCCUUUCUUCCUUAUGAAAACCAAGCAGCAUAAAAAUUCUUGGGCACAUGAAGACACUAGCCCGAGCUCGUCAAGAAAUUAGGACAACCAAAGCACACUUUAAAUGUACACACUAUUCUAAGCAGGAUAUUUGUUAGCCAUAAGUGACAUACAUUGUUGUAAGAGAACCUUUUGGUACAAGAAAUUUAAAAGAGUAUAUCUGUUGAGUGCGGUCCUCGUAAAAGUGAUAUAUCUAAUGUAGCAUAUGUUUCUUGUUUUAAAAGCACAAAACAUGUUGAGAAAGCUAUUAGUCGGAAUAUGAUACUCCAAAUCAUGGAUUAGAUCUGGCUGGAAUUCACAAGGGGAUAAGCUUUAAACCAGUUGUUUGUAUGCCUCUCAUUGGUCUUCCAUAUGGUAUACAUUAUGGGUGUAAUACAAGGUUAACACUUGGCACCUUAUCUAUACAUGUAAGUGAUGGAUGGAUUGUCAUACAUGUAGUUUAGUGCAUGUUAUAUUUUUGUCUUGCAGCAUAGGGUUCUUAAACUGUUAGCUAUAAGCAUUGAGAAUGGUGGUCUUGUUGUGAGCAGCCAUCUUGGUCACAAUGUUUCAAAACUGUAUAUAAUUAUAUGACUUUAUCUUCAGCACUAGGACAGCAUUUUGAUGAUAUUAAUAUCAGUACAUAAUAUAGUUACGAUGUCGUCAUUAGCAGUCACUGUAUUUAAAUCUAGUCGCCCUACCUAACUAUGGAAUAAACGUGAUUAUUAAAAAUAAUUUUAUUCUUGGUAACUAUGACAAGAGAGUAUUUCUCUUCCUUGAGUCGGUAUAAAUUAGCAUUUUUUUUUGUAAAUGUAUAUUUUUUUAACCUAAACGUAUAUAUAUUUGUUUUUCUUUGGUUUUGGGAUCACAGUUCAAAAGUUUUCUGGUUACCAUGUUGUGUACAAUAUAGUCACCGGUCAAAUUAACUAAAUUAAUUUCUCUUUAUUUCUCUUUAUUUCUCAAUCUAAUGAGAACUAAAUGUUACUUUAAUGUUCCAAUGGCUCUAUUGUUUACAAUGCUUGCUUUUUAGCAGGUCUUGUGCUAAGUGUAUAUUUUUAUCAGAUGCUCGUUGUUAAAAUUCAGUUAAAUUUAGUCAUUACUUUUUGUUAAAAAUUGUUAAAAACAAUGUACCAUUACUGCAGCAGAGUAUAUUAGUAACAAUUAAUAAUGCUGUUAACUGAAGCAUGAUUUUUUUUUUUUUUUUUUAUGUGAUAGUGAUAACUUAAUGACAUGCACUUAGGUUACGGUCAUAUCACCAUCAGCUGAUGUAGAGAAGAAAAUGUAUGUUAAAGACACAACAUUCUUAAUGUUUUCAUGACAUUAUUUCAUGACAUUUUAUAUAGUCUCUAUAAUCAUGACCUUUUUCUGUUCAGUAUUUCAUGUGUUAUUUUUCUUCUGGAUUGAGAUGUUUGCAGAACUGAUAUGAUUUGUGCAAUAAUUAGUUGGUCACAAUAGAGGUUUUCUCAUCGGAUAUCAAUCUUCAGUACUCCACAGUCGUGUGUCAUACAGUUUUUUCUUACUGUUAGGUCGCACGCAUACACAGUAACUUGUUUUAUUCUUGUAUUCCUUCAGUUUCAACGCCUUUGCUUCCCAAAAUUAGAAUUGGCUGAUGUAAAAUUAAUGUUUAAAAACACUUAUCUUUUUGGUGUACUCUUUCAAUUUUAGCAUCUUUUCUUCUGAGAAAUAAAACAUUUGUUUAACAAUGUCAUUAAGGGUACUACACUUAGUCCUCUAAAGAUAGUAUAUGAUAGAAAUGUUUUCUUUCUUAAUGGCAAUUAUUUCACUUCCAGUCAUGAAAUUUCGCAACAAAACUUAUAAUUCUCAAAGAAUCUUUUUCUCGUGAAUCUAUAUAUAUAUAUAUAUAUACAUGUAUAUAUGUGUGUGUGUGUGUGUAUAUAUAUAUAUUUAUUUAUAAGAAUGCUGAUGAAACACUUUGAAGUAUUUUAGUAUAGCUUCAUUUUCGGUGUUAAUACUUCAUAUAUUUAUCUUUGGUGUUUCAUGCUUCUCAGACUGGGAUUUCUUGGUUUUAUUUCUGCAAAAUGGUAUUAUUUUAGUAAUUUCUUCUCUUUUUUUUCUUCUUUUUUUUUUACUAUGACACACUUAAAAAAGUAGCAGCCAGACUUUUUGAAACUGUAGAGGAACCCUCUCCCCUCCUCCCGAGUCCCAUGAUUUUUGUUGGUUAAUUGAAUAAUGAUGAUGUAGAAUAUAACAAAAGAAUAUACUUGUUUUGAUUUUGCUCAAAAUGCACAUUUAAAAACUGAUUGUGGAGAUCAUAAACUCAUUUAUUUUUGGAUCAAAAGAGCUCACGCCAAAGUGUUUGUGUUGGCAGUAAAACAACUUGUUAACAGUUUUCGCCUUGGAACAGACAUGCUCUAUUUAUUGUCAACAUGUGAGUGCCUAUUUUAGCAUCUGGUGUGCUAAAGUAGGCUUUAUUGUUCUCUUGUUGUGUAAUGUGAUGAAUUCGAGCUAUUCCAAGAAUAAAAUAUUUUGAGCUUAA